rfam:Felis catus breed Abyssinian Contig44850.1, whole genome shotgun sequence. [26-MAY-2016]
GUCUGGCUGGCUCAGUUGGUAGAGCGUGUGACUCUUGAUCUCUGGGCUGUGAGUUCAAGCCCCACGUUGGGGG